rnacentral:rRNA from 1 species
GUCGAACGGUAGCAGGAAGAAAGCUUGCUUUCUUUGCUGACGAGUGGCGGACGGGUGAGUAAUGCUUGGGAAUCUGGCUUAUGGAGGGGGAUAACUGUGGGAAACUGCAGCUAAUACCGCGUAAUCUCUGAGGAGUAAAGGGUGGGACCUCUUGGCCACCUGCCAUAAGAUGAGCCCAAGUGGGAUUAGGUAGUUGGUGGGGUAAAGGCCUACCAAGCCUGCGAUCUCUAGCUGGUCUGAGAGGAUGACCAGCCACACUGGAACUGAGACACGGUCCAGACUCCUACGGGAGGCAGCAGUGGGGAAUAUUGCGCAAUGGGGGGAACCCUGACGCAGCCAUGCCGCGUGAAUGAAGAAGGCCUUCGGGUUGUAAAGUUCUUUCGGUAAUGAGGAAGGGAUGUUGUUAAAUAGAUGGCAUCAUUGACGUUAAUUACAGAAGAAGCACCGGCUAACUCCGUGCCAGCAGCCGCGGUAAUACGGAGGGUGCGAGCGUUAAUCGGAAUAACUGGGCGUAAAGGGCACGCAGGCGGACUUUUAAGUGAGAUGUGAAAUCCCCGAGCUUAACUUGGGAAUUGCAUUUCAGACUGGGAGUCUAGAGUACUUUU